CUACGUGCCAGCAGCCGCGGUAAUACGUAGGUCCCGAGCGUUAUCCGGAUUUAUUGGGCGUAAAGCGAGCGCAGGCGGUUAGAUAAGUCUGAAGUUAAAGGCUGUGGCUUAACCAUAGUACGCUUUGGAAACUGUUUAACUUGAGUGCAAGAGGGGAGAGUGGAAUUCCAUGUGUAGCGGUGAAAUGCGUAGAUAUAUGGAGGAACACCGGUGGCGAAAGCGGCUCUCUGGCUUGUAACUGACGCUGAGGCUCGAAAGCGUGGGGAGCAAACAGGAUUAGAUACCCUGGUAGUCCACGCCGUAAACGAUGUCGACUUGGAGGUUGUGCCCUUGAGGCGUGGCUUCCGGAGCUAACGCGUUAAGUCGACCGCCUGGGGAGUACGGCCGCAAGGUUAAAACUCAAAUGAAUUGACGGGGGCCCGCACAAGCGGUGGAGCAUGUGGUUUAAUUCGAUGCAACGCGAAGAACCUUACCUACUCUUGACAUCCAGA
rnacentral:rRNA from 1 species